UAGACAUGCACCUUGCACCUUUUGGGCAGUUACGCGCAAGAAAAAAAUGACAUAAGUUAACAGCGGCUACUGUCAAGGUGUGGUGAGAAAAGGGGAAUGAGAGAACCAAGGGCUCAAGCGGAAGGAGAGUGGCUUGGGCAUGUUCUUUCCAAUUUUACUCGCGAUCCCAGACGGACGUCUGAGGAAAAUACUCAAGUAGUGCAGUGAAAGGAAAAAUUCUAACCUCGACCGUAAAUACCGCGUGUCCAUCGUGGCUAAGAUCUAGUCAAAAGAUCAGCCGACCAUUCCUACGUUUAUUAAGCGAAGGCCGAACCCAUCGGGUUUGGCCGUACGUAAUACCGUACGAAACGCCGGUCGUAGUGCCGUAAGCCGUACCCACUACAGUCUCGUCACCUUACCACACAUAUAAAUACCCAGCGUCCCGAUCGACUACAGUAUGUG